UUUAUAAGAUCCGAAACACAAAUCUGGAAUCACUGUUCGACUUCUCCUCCUCUCCCACUUUUUAUAUCAUCAUCUAAAUCAGCUCUAACCUAAAGCCACUGUGGCAUCUAGAAAUUCCAAAUCAAACAUCCUCAUCUCUGCACGAGUCACAACUAUAGCCGCCUCACUAUGGUUUCAACUGAAGAGAGUCUUUUGGAAUGACCUCUAUGGAUCUUGGUAAAAAUUAAUUCCUCCGAUGAUGUUUACGGUCAGGAUUUUCUAUGAUUCAUGCGUCUGAUGCAUUUUUAGUGUGGGUUUUGAGUCAAAACUUUUGACCCAACCUAAAUAGGCUUAUUAUCAUGUUUUUGUGAUAUGUUAUCUGUUUGUAUCAUAAUUAUUUGAAAAUUGAAUUUACUGCACUAUGAUUGCUUGAGGAAAGGUAGAGCUCUCAACCCAUUACUAUUCCGUUUUCAAUUUUUUAUUUUCUAGGAACAAAAUCAUUUCUAAUUUUCAUUUGACUAAACCAUUGAGGAUCAGCAGAAGAAGGACGGGUCGAGAACGAAGUUGAAAAUGAACGUGAAGCUUAAUCAUCAAGUUAACUAAGAAGAAUGAUGUUAAUAAGCUUCAGAUCAAGGUCUAUGAGAAGACAUGUCAAAUCGUUCCAUGCUCUCUUCAAGACCUUUGGUUGUGGGUCUGUGGCUUCGUAUCAUGUGUUCAUCUGUAGAAAGUUCACGAAACAUGUUCUUCCACAAUCCAAUCGACAAACCAAAGCCUCUGCCAAGACCUCAUAAUAUCAAAAUAUCUACAGGAAGCAGUCCAUGAUGAUCCAGGGAUCAAUUAGCGUCCACUGGUUGAACACUUUCUAACGCCCCUCAGAUAGGGAGGUAUUUAUGAGCUGAGUUCAUUUGAUGUGACAAAGAGCAAUCAGUAUUUCAAGCUGACUACUGCACCCGUAUCAGUUAGGUUCACUUAGCACACUACCUUGAUAGAGAUCACAGAAACCAUUAACCCUAUACCGGCAGAGGUCUUCCUGUUCCGGAGCUUUGAUCAAGUGUUGUUACUGGCUAACACAAACAUCCUCUUACCAGGUCUUUUUCUCAACUUUGCCUCCAUAGUAUAUGGAUUACGAUUGUUUUGUUUGAGAUUGGAAAUGUUAUAACUCCUUACUCUUUGAUAUAAGAUAUUGGUGGGGAAGUUAUGGGCAUCAAAACCACCCACAACGGUCAGUUCACAACUAACAACUUGCAUGUUCAUCCUCCUUACAUGGUGACAUAUAUUCAAUGAUCCCAGCGCUGAUAUGCCGGGGAGCUGCAUCUGUAAUACCAAAUCCCUCGCAUGGUGUGUACAUCGGUGUUUCUAUGACCAGCAGAAGGCUUGAUAGUCAUGGGAUGGUUGAAGAAAACAGAAGCGAGACAGCUCUACCAGGUGCUCGAGCUAUUGUUCCCGAAAUGACUGCAGAGUGCGGAGAAGCCAACAGUUCUGGAACAUGGGCUCUUUGUAAAGAAGGCAUGCAUUGAGUAAAAUCUUAAGUAAGGGAGUCUAUGACCCUCCUGUCGACUCCUACAAACUACGCUGGAGCUUUUUUAAAUUUCGCAUAUUAAUGAAAUAUGGCUUAAGAAUCAUUCCCACCGUCAUGUUAUA